rnacentral:lncRNA from 1 species
AUAACACACAACUCAUCCACAUGUAUAUAAAACACACAACUCAUCCACAUGUAUAUAAAACACACAACUCAUCCACAUGUAUAUAAAACACAUUCACAGUAAAUGCGGAAAACACAACCAAAAGUAAAAAAAAAAAAAAAAAAAAUGUAUUUCCAUUUUGGUUCUCUUAAUUAUAUAAAUCUUUGAUUUAUUAAUUGAUUCAUUACAUGGGGUUUGUUUGCAGGGGCAUUCCAGGCCUUCGACCAGGAUGGAGACGGUACGAUCAGACUCAGUGUCUUGGAGUGGCUCCAGUUGACCAUGUACGCCUAGAUUUCCAGAAAGGUCUUCUCAGCCGGUCGGCCUCUCUGGUGACACCCACCCAACGUGAAGAACAGAGGCGGACUACCAGCAUUUACCUCAGUCGUGACCGUGCCAGACCGAAGAGCUAACCCUGCCAGUACCACAUCCACCACCUUCUUCCUGUUCACCUCACGGCAACCCUCAGUCCUCACAAUAGACUGCUACUUACCAGUCCAUACUACUCCAUCACAUCCUUCAUCUCUCUCUCUCUCUAAUCUACUCCUUCCCAUCUCUCUCUCCCUCUAACCUUCCCUCUCUCUCUCCCUCUAACCUUCUCCUUCCCCCUCUCUCUCUCCCUCUAACCUUCUCUCUCUCUCUCUCUCCCUCUAACCUUCUCCUUCCCUCUCUCUCUCCCUCUAACCUUCUCUCUCUCUCCUUCUAACCUUCCCUCUCUCUCUCCCUCUAACCUUCUUCCCUCUCUGUCUCCCUCUAACCUUCUUCCCUCUCUCUCUCCCUCUAAACUUCUCCUUCCCUCUCGAUCUCCCUCUAACCUUCUCCUUCCCUCUCUCUCUCCCUCUAACCUUCUCCUUCCCUCUCUCUCUCCCUCUAACCUUCCCUCUCUCUCUCCCUCUAACCUUCCCUCUCUCUCUCCCUCUCCCUCUAAACUUCUCCUUCCCUCUCUCUCUCCCUCUAACCUUCUCCUUCCCUCUCUCUCUCCCUCUAACCUUCUCUUUCCCUCUCUCUCCCUCUAACCUUCUCCUUCCCUCUCUCUCCCUCUAACCUUCCCUCUCUCUCUCCCUCUAACCUUCCCUCUCUCUCUCCCUCUAACCUUCCCUCUCUCUCUCCCUCUAACCUUCUCCUUCCCUCUCUCUCUCCCUCUAACCUUCUCCUUCCCUCUCUCUCCCUCUAACCUUCUCCUUCCCUCUCUCUCCCUCUAACUUUCUCCUUCCCUCUCUCUCCCUCUAACCUUCUCCUUCCCUCUCUCUCUCCCUCUAACCUUCCCUCUCUCUCUCCCUCUAACCUUCCCUCUCUCUUUCCCUCUAACCUUCUCCUUCCCUCUCGAUCUCCCUCUAACCUUCUCCUUCCCUCUCGAUCUCCCUCUAACCUUCUCCUUCCCCAUCUCUCUCCCUCUAACCUUCUCCUU